rnacentral:rRNA from 1 species
GAUGAACGCUGGCGGCGUGCCUAAUACAUGCAAGUCGAGCGAACGGACGAGAAGCUUGCUUCUCUGAUGUUAGCGGCGGACGGGUGAGUAACACGUGGAUAACCUACCUAUAAGACUGGGAUAACUUCGGGAACCCGGAGCUAAUACCGGAUAAUAUUUUGAACCGCAUGGUUCAAAAGUGAAAGACGGUCUUGCUGUCACUUAUAGAUGGAUCCGCGCUGCAUUAGCUAGUUGGUAAGGUAACGGCUUACCAAGGCAACGAUGCAUAGCCGACCUGAGAGGGUGAUCGGCCACACUGGAACUGAGACACGGUCCAGACUCCUACGGGAGGCAGCAGUAGGGAAUCUUCCGCAAUGGGCGAAAGCCUGACGGAGCAACGCCGCGUGAGUGAUGAAGGUCUUCGGAUCGUAAAACUCUGUUAUUAGGGAAGAACAUAUGUGUAAGUAACUGUGCACAUCUUGACGGUACCUAAUCAGAAAGCCACGGCUAACUACGUG